rnacentral:rRNA from 1 species
UACGUAGGGCGCAAGCGUUGUCCGGAAUUAUUGGGCGUAAAGAGCUCGUAGGCGGUUUGUCGCGUCUGCUGUGAAAACCUAAGGCUCAACCUUGGGCUUGCAGUGGGUACGGGCAGACUAGAGUGCGGUAGGGGUGACUGGAAUUCCUGGUGUAGCGGUGAAAUGCGCAGAUAUCAGGAGGAACACCGGUGGCGAAGGCGGGUCUCUGGGCCGAUACUGACGCUGGAGGAGCGAAAAGCGUUGGGGAGCAAACAGG